rnacentral:rRNA from 1 species
AUACGGGAGUGGCAAGCGUUAUCCGGAAUUAUUGGGCGUAAAGCGUCCGCAGGCGGCCGAUCAAGUCUGCUGUUAAAGAGUGGAGCUUAACUCCAUAGAGGCAGUGGAAACUGAUUGGCUGGAGUGUGGUAGGGGCAGAGGGAAUUCCCGGUGUAGCGGUGAAAUGCGUAGAUAUCGGGAAGAACACCAGUGGCGAAGGCGCUCUGCUGGGCCAUAACUGACGCUCAUGGACGAAAGCCAGGGGAGCGAAAGGGAUUAGAUACCCCUGUAGUCCUGGCCGUAAACGAUGAACACUAGGUGUCGGGGGAAUCGACCCCCUCGGUGUCGUAGCCAACGCGUUAAGUGUUCCGCCUGGGGAGUACGCACGCAAGUGUGAA